AUCUGCAGUCGAGGGGCAGCGCAGGUAGCAAUACUGGGCGGCGACCAGCAAACGGGUGCGGAACACGUACGUAACCUUCCUUUAAGUGGGAGAUAGCCCGAAGAAAUUCGGAUUAAUACCCCAUAAGAUUGUGGAGUGGCAUCACUCAGCAAUUAAAGAAAUUCGCUUAAAGAUGGGCGUGCGGCUGAUUAGGUAGUUGGUGAGGUAACGGCUCACCAAGCCAACGAUCAGUAACUGGCGUGAGAGCGCGACCAGUCACACGGGCACUGAGACACGGGCCCGACUCCUACGGGAGGCAGCAGUAAGGAAUAUUGGUCAAUGGACGCAAGUCUGAACCAGCCAUGCCGCGUGAAGGAUGAAGGUCCUCUGGAUUGUAAACUUCUUUUAUAUGGGAAGAAACCACUUUUUUCUAAAGGUGUUGACGGUACCAUAGGAAUAAGCACCGGCUAACUCCGUGCCAGCAGCCGCGGUAAUACGGAGGGUGCAAGCGUUAUCCGGAUUCACUGGGUUUAAAGGGUGCGUAGGCGGAUUAGUAAGUCCGUGGUGAAAUCUCCGAGCUUAACUCGGAAACUGCCGUGGAUACUAUUAAUCUUGAAUACUGUGGAGGUUAGCGGAAUAUGUCAUGUAGCGGUGAAAUGCAUAGAUAUGACAUAGAACACCAAUUGCGAAGGCAGCUGGCUACACAGAGAUUGACGCUGANGCACGAAAGCGUGGGGAUCAAACAGGAUUAGAUACCCUGGUAGUCCACGCCCUAAACGAUGAUUACUCGACAUUUGCGAUAUACAGUAAGUGUCUGANCGAAAGCAUUAAGUAAUCCACCUGGGGAAGUACGACCGCAAGGUUGAAACUC
rnacentral:rRNA from 1 species